UCAUCCUCUUCCUUUUUCAACUCUUCACACAGCCACUAUCAUGAGUUUGAUCUUUAUCCUUGCAAUCCAUUUAAAAAACAUACAUACAUAUAUGUAUCUAUUACCAAUAUAUAGUACUGAAUUUUUGUAAGGGAAGUUUUAAUUCAAAUUUACAAAAAUGUCGUGGUAUCACAAUUGUCAUUCUGUCUCUUCAUUUUCCUCAAUGUUUUUGAUACAAUUCUCUGUAAUACAUAUAGAUCUCAUUUGUUACAUAUCCCAUAAUAAGUACUUUCUACGUUUUUACUGACGGGCAUUUGUUUCCAACUUAUUGGCUACCACAAAUCGUGCCACAGUAAAUAGCCUGGUACAUAUUUCCUGAGCAUACAAACUCAAGAGUAGAAAACCUACAUACUUUUAAUUCAUUAUAAGGAAUGUUUUCCUACUCCUAGGGUCAUAAUCAUUUCAGGAUGCAGCUUUUCAACAGUCCUGUUUGCUUGUUUUUUAAAUGUGUUUUUACUGAUUUCAGAGAGGGAGAGAAACAUCAAAACUGACUGUCUUCUGCACACUCCCUAUUGGGGAUCAAGCCUGCAAUCCAGGUAUGUGCCCUGAGUGGGAAUGGAAUAAUUGACCUCUUGGUUCAUGGUUUGAGGCUCACCCACUGAGCAACAUAUGCUGGGCCAUAGUCCUCUUUUUAAUCCCACGGAUUUUACCUUUAUGUAUAGUUCAUGAUUUUUUCUUCCUUGGAGAAUCAACCACCUCCAAAUCAUUUUUUAAACAGUCCCAUUAUCUUCUCUAAUUUUAAAUUCUAAUAAAUGCAUAGGUAUUUCAGAAUCUCUUCUCUUCU